CCUACGGGUGGCAGCAGUGGGGGAUAUUGCACAAUGGGGGGAACCCUGAUGCAGCGACGCCGCGUGGGUGAAGAAGCGCCUCGGCGCGUAAAGCCCUGUCAGCAGGGAAGAAAAUGACGGUACCUGCAGAAUACGCCCCGGCUACCUACGUCCCAGCCGCCGCGGUAAUACGUAGGGGGCAAGCGUUAUCCGGCUUUACUGGGUGUAAAGGUGGCGCAGACGGCGAUGCAAGCCAGGAGUGAAAGCCCGGGGCCCAACCCCGGGACUGCUCUUGGAACUGCGUGGCUGGAGUGCAGGAGGGGCAGGCGGAAUUCCUGGUGUAGCGGUGAAAUGCGUAGAUAUCAGGAGGAACACCGGUGGCGAAGGCGGCCUGCUGGACUGCAACUGACGUUGAGGCCCGAAAGCGUGGGGAGCAAACAGGAUUAGAUACCCUUGUAGUC
rnacentral:rRNA from 1 species